AUGACAAAGACAGAAAGAUCGCUCUCUUAAUUCUAUUAAUUACGCCUCUUAAUUCCCUGAAUUGCACCUUUUCCUCUUCUUCUAUUAACUGUUGCUCCUCCGUAACCACUGGUGUAAUAUAGCGCAGAAGAGACAGCCAAUAUAGUGGCAGAAAAUGGGAAUGCUUCUGCUCUCACUGAUGAGUUGCAAUCUAGAGACCCAGCCCCCGAAGAAAAGAUGGAUAAUCCACCUUUUUUCUCAAGACCGUAUGCUUCUUCUAGCCUGAUUUGAUCUGCUAGAUGAGCUCUGAUACCAUGUUAGUUAUUGUGAAUCAAGAUGAUGAAUAAGGAAGAAGACAUGAAUGAAGAAAUAGUUGUAACUGUAUUCAGUGUUCAAUAUACACAAGUAUAUGGGGUAUAUACCGUGAGAUGCAAAGGCUAUUUCAUUAACUAA